UGCUGUGAGCUCGAUGAGUAGGGCGGGACACGUGGUAUCCUGUCUGAAUAUGGGGGGACCAUCCUCCAAGGCUAAAUACUCCUGACUGACCGAUAGUGAACCAGUACCGUGAGGGAAAGGCGAAAAGAACCCCGGCGAGGGGAGUGAAAAAGAACCUGAAACCGUGUACGUACAAGCAGUGGGAGCCCCACCACUAAGCCAGUGGUGAACUCCACAUACGCAUCCUUUGCUGAGGAUACGGUUAACGGAGCGAAAGCGACGUUCAACCUCAAAAGAAGCAGAGGGGGCUUAGUGGUGGGGUGACUGCGUACCUUUUGUAUAAUGGGUCAGCGACUUAUAUUCUGUAGCAAGGUUAACCGAAUAGGGGAGCCGGAGGGAAACCGAGUCUUAAUUGGGCGUUAAGUUGCAGGGUAUAGACCCGAAACCCGGUGAUCUAGCCAUGGGCAGGUUGAAGGUUGGGUAACACUAACUGGAGGACCGAACCGACUAAUGUUGAAAAAUUAGCGGAUGACCUGUGGCUGGGGGUGAAAGGCCAAUCAAACCGGGAGAUAGCUGGUUCUCCCCGAAAGCUAUUUAGGUAGCGCCUCGUGAAUUCAUCUCCGGGGGUAGAGCACUGUUUCGGCUAGGGGGCCAUCCCGGCUUACCAACCCGAUGCAAACUGCGAAUACCGGAGAAUGUUAUCACGGGAGACACACGGCGGGUGCUAACGUCCGUCGUGAAGAGGGAAACAACCCAGACCGCCAGCUAAGGUCCCAAAGUCAUGGUUAAGUGGGAAACGAUGUGGGAAGGCCCAGACAGCCAGGAUGUUGGCUUAGAAGCAGCCAUCAUUUAAAGAAAGCGUAAUAGCUCACUGGUCGAGUCGGCCUGCGCGGAAGAUGUAACGGGGCUAAACCAUGCAC
rnacentral:rRNA from 1 species